UGGGCGUAGGAAAUUUGAGAGGAGCUGUCCUUAGUACGAGAGGACCGGGAUGGACGCACCGCUGGUGUACCAGUUGUUCUGCCAAGGGCAUAGCUGGGUAGCUAUGUGCGGAAGGGAUAAGUGCUGAAAGCAUCUAAGCAUGAAGCCCCCCUCAAGAUGAGAUUUCCCAUAGCGUAAGCUAGUAAGAUCCCUGAAAGAUGAUCAGGUUGAUAGGUUCGAGGUGGAAGCAUGGUGACAUGUGGAGCUGACGAAUACUAAUAGAUCGAGGACUUAACCAUAUAA
rnacentral:rRNA from 1 species